GAGAGAGAGAGAGAGAGAGAGAGAGAGAGAGAGAGAGAGAGAGAGAGAGAGAGAGAGAGAGAGAGAGAGAGAGAGAGAGAGAGAGAGAGAGAGAGAGAGAGAGAGAGAGAGAGAAGGCAGUGUAAAGUGAGUGGUGGGAAAGCACCUUUAGCCCAGAGGUAGCCUCUGCACACACGUCAGUGUGUGUGUGAGAGUGUGUGUGUGUGUGUGUGUGUGUGUGUGUGUGUGUGUGUGUGUGUGUGUGUGUGUGUGUGUGUGUGUGUGCGUUUGUGUGCGUGUGUGUGAGAGAGCAAGCCGGCUCUAGGACUAGAGCUGCUGUCACUUUAAGCCUGUUACUGAUUACACUCAGAAGAAUGCAACGGGAGGAGAAAGAAAAAGACACAGAAAGAGAGUGAGAGAGGAGAAAAAGGAAAGAAAGCAAGGACGACCGAACUGCGAGAAUCCCAGAGGAUUUGAGAGGACGAAAUCUACCCUGACUUUUUUUUUUUUUUUUGGGUCGCUUACGCUUACAUCUGCGGACAGUGACGUUGGUGUAGCGAAAGGGAGCUGUUACCCAAUAAUGACUGUCUGUUCUCACUGGCUCUGUAUCUGGGAUGAGAACGACGCAGAUAUGGAGAUAAAGGAGAGCAGGAGAGAGCAGGAGCGAGUGAGAGAGAGAGAGAGAGAGCGAGAGAGAGAGAGAGAGAGAGAGAGAGAGAGAGAGAGAGAGAGAGAGAGAGAGAGAGAGAGAGAGAGAGAGAGAGAGAGAGAGAGAGAGAGAGAGAGAGAGAGAGAGAGAGAAAAGGGGAACCCCAGAUCCUAGCAGGGACUGGCAGAAUGGGAGACAGACCAGCAGAGACAAAAAUGAAGGGAAAAAAAGAGCAAACCCCCCCCCUCUUCCAAAAGGACACAUGACCAGAGAAGAAGAAGGAGAGGAGGGAGUUUGGGGGGGGGUUCAUUCCCAGCCCGGCGUCGGGAGGAAACGCUUCUCUCACCCGCAGACUGAUGGACCAGAGUCAUUCCUUUGUCCAAUGGGAAACCUCUCCGACCACUGCAGUCGAAUUAACUAGAAAAGGUGUGCUUGUCAGAGUGGCCAAUGGUGGUCUGAAGAAGAGGAAGAGGAAGAUGGGAUGAACAUCGUGUCCCGCUGCCUCUCGGCGCUGUCAGUUGCUCAGUAGGCAGUGUAGAUCCUGUUUAGCAAUCAGCAGCUACAUCUGGCUACUGGGUCUCUGAAGGCGCUGCCCACUUCCUGGGGAGCAUACCAUCAGCUUGCCAUUGGCUGCCGGUGCAUUCCGUCGAUUGGCUGAGAGGAGGAUGUCUCGAGAGUGCUCUGCCGUGUGACCUUACAGACAGGAUGUGCUCAAUGUGUGUCCCGAUUUUGCAACGGGCCCCAAAAAUACUGUUUGAUUGUUCUACCCCUUCCUUUAGGAAUCUUGUACACUCCCCCUCCAUCCUCUCAUCUUAUCUCAUUCUUCUAGCUGCCAAUAAAAUAAUUGCGUUUUUUUCAACGCACUAAAAAAAUGUGUGCCAAUGGCGCUGGACAAAAGAAACACUUGAAUGAUGGAUUUGCAGGUUGUCUGGUGGCCGUGGUGUCAAACGCCGUUGCUUUAUCCUGAACCUGGCAUACAAUGUAGAUAUCUGUGUUGUCCAAUUCUACAGCUACAUUGUCUGCUGGGUUUCUGGCUAGCAAUAUAAGCAGCUUUAAAUGCCCCUGGAAACUCAAUAGGGUAAGUGUCUCAUCAAUCAGGUCUGCCAUUGUGUAUGAAAUGCUGAAACAGUGACUAAUUCAAUAAAAAUAAACUAUUUCUGCUGAAAAGAUUGAUUUGGUUAUUUUCUCGAGAAGAAAAAAGUCUGUUGGAUGGAGAAGAGGCUCACUGAGCUCUGGAAUCCGAAUAAUCUGAAUUUUACUCCACAGUGCUUAUCUGUCCUCUGACUUUAUCUCCAGCGAGGUUUGCCAGGAAUAUUCUGGUAACUCAGCAAAAUACUGGGGAGGGUGUCUGUCAGGGUGCUGUCAGACUCGCUCCCUAUUAGUGGCUUUCCGCCUA
ensembl:lncRNA